GAUGAACGCUGGCGGCGUGCCUAAUACAUGCAAGUCGAGCGAACAGACGAGGAUCUUGCUCCUUUGACGUUAGCGGCGGACGGGUGAGUAACACGUGGUUAACCUACCUAUAAGACUGGGAUAACUUCGGGAAACCGGAGCUAAUACCGGAUAAUAUUUCGAACCGCAUGGUUCGAUAGUGAAAGAUGGCUUUGCUAUCACUUAUCGAUGUACCUGCGCCGUAUUAGCUAGUUGGUAAGUUAACGGCUUACCAAGGCAACGAUACGUAGCCGACCUGAGAGGGUGAUCGGCCACACUGGAACUGAGACACGGUCCAGACUCCUACGGGAGGCAGCAGUAGGGAAUCUUCCGCAAUGGGCGAGAGCCUGACGGAGCAACGCCGCGUGAGUGAUGAAGGUCUUCGGAUCGUAAAACUCUGUUAGUAGGGAAGAAUAAACGUGUAAGUAACUGUGCACGUCUUGACGGUACCUAAUCAGAAAGCCACGGCUAACUACGUG
rnacentral:rRNA from 1 species